rnacentral:rRNA from 1 species
UACGUAGGGGGCGAGCGUUAUCCGGAUUUACUGGGCGUAAAGCGCGUUAAGGCGGUUGGCAAAGUUGGUUGUGAAAUCUCAGGGCUCAACCCUGAAAUUGCGACCAAUACUGGUCGACUAGAGUGUGAGAGAGGAAGGUGGAAUUCCCGGUGUAGUAGUGAAAUGCGUAGAUAUCGGGAGGAACACCAGUGGCGAAGGCGGCCUUCUGGCUCAUAACUGACGCUGUAGCGCGAAAGCGUGGGGAGCAAACAGG